UACGUAGGUGGCAAGCGUUAUCCGGAUUUACUGGGUGUAAAGGGCGUGUAGGCGGGGCUGCAAGUCAGAUGUGAAAACUCAGAGCUCAACUCUGAGCCUGCAUUUGAAACUGUAGUUCUUGAGUGCUGGAGAGGCAAUCGGAAUUCCGUGUGUAGCGGUGAAAUGCGUAGAUAUACGGAGGAACACCAGUGGCGAAGGCGGAUUGCUGGACAGUAACUGACGCUGAGGCGCGAAAGCGUGGGGAGCAAACAGG
rnacentral:rRNA from 1 species